CAGUCGCCACGGUAAUACGAAGGGGGCUAGCGUUGUUCGGAUUUACUGGGCGUAAAGGGCGCGUAGGCGGCAUGUACAGUCAGACGUGAAAUUCCUGGGCUUAACCUGGGGGCUGCGUUUGAUACGUGCAGGCUAGAGUGGGGAAGAGGGUUGUGGAAUUCCCAGUGUAGAGGUGAAAUUCGUAGAUAUUGGGAAGAACACCGGUGGCGAAGGCGGCAACCUGGUCCUUGACUGACGCUGAGGCGCGAAAGCGUGGGGAGCAAACAGGAUUAGAUACCCGUGUAGUCCCUGUCUCUUAUAC
rnacentral:rRNA from 1 species